rnacentral:rRNA from 1 species
UACGUAGGGGGCAAGCGUUGUCCGGAUUUAUUGGGCGUAAAGCGCUCGCAGGUGGUUCGUCGCGUCGUGCGUGAAAGACCCCGGCUCAACUGGGGGAGGUCGUGCGAUACGGGCGGACUGGAGGCCAGUAGGGGGAUGCGGAAUUCCGGGUGUAGUGGUGGAAUGCGUAGAGAUCCGGAGGAACACCAGCGGCGAAGGCGGCAUCCUGGACUGGUCCUGACACUCAUGAGCGAAAGCGUGGGGAGCGAGUCCGG